rnacentral:rRNA from 1 species
CGAACCGUACGAACGUUAUUCGGAAUCACUGGGCUUAAAGGGUGCGUAGGCGGUGCGGAAAGUUGGGUGUGAAAUCCCUCGGCUCAACCGAGGAACUGCGCCCAAAACUACCGCACUUGAGGGAGAUAGAGGUGAGCGGAACUUAGGGUGGAGCGGUGAAAUGCGUUGAUAUCCUAAGGAACACCGGUGGCGAAAGCGGCUCACUGGAUCUCUUCUGACGCUGAGGCACGAAAGCUAGGGUAGCGAACGGGAUUAGAUACCCCGGUAGUCCUAGCCGUAAACGAUGAGCACUGGAUCGAAGGGUCCUCCAUAGCCUUUUGGUCGCAGCGAAAGUGUUUAGUGCUCCGCCUGGGGGAGUAUGGUCGCAAGGCUG